rnacentral:rRNA from 1 species
GGAAAGGCGCGCGAUACAGGGUGACAGCCCCGUACACAAAAAUGCACAUGCUGUGAGCUCGAUGAGUAGGGCGGGACACGUGGUAUCCUGUCUGAAUAUGGGGGGACCAUCCUCCAAGGCUAAAUACUCCUGACUGACCGAUAGUGAACCAGUACCGUGAGGGAAAGGCGAAAAGAACCCCGGCGAGGGGAGUGAAAAAGAACCUGAAACCGUGUACGUACAAGCAGUGGGAGCACAGAGCAAUCUGUGUGACUGCGUACCUUUUGUAUAAUGGGUCAGCGACUUAUAUUCUGUAGCAAGGUUAACCGAAUAGGGGAGCCGAAGGGAAACCGAGUCUUAACUGGGCGUUAAGUUGCAGGGUAUAGACCCGAAACCCGGUGAUCUAGCCAUGGGCAGGUUGAAGGUUGGGUAACACUAACUGGAGGACCGAACCGACUAAUGUUGAAAAAUUAGCGGAUGACUUGUGGCUGGGGGUGAAAGGCCAAUCAAACCGGGAGAUAGCUGGUUCUCCCCGAAAGCUAUUUAGGUAGCGCCUCGUGAAUUCAUCUCCGGGGGUAGAGCACUGUUUCGGCAAGGGGGUCAUCCCGACUUACCAACCCGAUGCAAACUGCGAAUACCGGAGAAUGUUAUCACGGGAGACACACGGCGGGUGCUAACGUCCGUCGUGAAGAGGGAAACAACCCAGACCGCCAGCUAAGGUCCCAAAGUCAUGGUUAAGUGGGAAACGAUGUGGGAAGGCCCAGACAGCCAGGAUGUUGGCUUAGAAGCAGCCAUCAUUUAAAGAAAGCGUAAUAGCUCACUGGUCGAGUCGGCCUGCGCGGAAGAUGUAACGGGGCUAAACCAUGCACCGAAGCUGCGGCAGCGACGCUGAUGCGUUGUUGGGUAGGGGAGCGUUCUGUAAGCCUGUGAAGGUGUACUGUGAGGUAUGCUGGAGGUAUCAGAAGUGCGAAUGCUGACAUAAGUAACGAUAAAGCGGGUGAAAAGCCCGCUCGCCGGAAGACCAAGGGUUCCUGUCCAACGUUAAUCGGGGCAGGGUGAGUCGACCCCUAAGGCGAGGCCGAAAGGCGUAGUCGAUGGGAAACAGGUUAAUAUUCCUGUACUUGGUGUUACUGCGAAGGGGGGACGGAGAAGGCUAUGUUGGCCGGGCGACGGUUGUCCCGGUUUAAGCGUGUAGGCUGGUUUUCCAGGCAAAUCCGGAAAAUCAAGGCUGAGGCGUGAUGACGAGGCACUACGGUGCUGAAGCAACAAAUGCCCUGCUUCCAGGAAAAGCCUCUAAGCAUCAGGUAACAUCAAAUCGUACCCCAAACCGACACAGGUGGUCAGGUAGAGAAUACCAAGGCGCUUGAGAGAACUCGGGUGAAGGAACUAGGCAAAAUGGUGCCGUAACUUCGGGAGAAGGCACGCUGAUAUGUAGGUGAAGUCCCUCGCGGAUGGAGCUGAAAUCAGUCGAAGAUACCAGCUGGCUGCAACUGUUUAUUAAAAACACAGCACUGUGCAAACACGAAAGUGGACGUAUACGGUGUGACGCCUGCCCGGUGCCGGAAGGUUAAUUGAUGGGGUUAGCGCAAGCGAAGCUCUUGAUCGAAGCCCCGGUAAACGGCGGCCGUAACUAUAACGGUCCUAAGGUAGCGAAAUUCCUUGUCGGGUAAGUUCCGACCUGCACGAAUGGCGUAAUGAUGGCCAGGCUGUCUCCACCCGAGACUCAGUGAAAUUGAACUCGCUGUGAAGAUGCAGUGUACCCGCGGCAAGACGGAAAGACCCCGUGAACCUUUACUAUAGCUUGACACUGAACAUUGAGCCUUGAUGUGUAGGAUAGGUGGGAGGCUUUGAAGUGUGGACGCCAGUCUGCAUGGAGCCGACCUUGAAAUACCACCCUUUAAUGUUUGAUGUUCUAACGUUGACCCGUGAUCCGGGUUGCGGACAGUGUCUGGUGGGUAGUUUGACUGGGGCGGUCUCCUCCUAAAGAGUAACGGAGGAGCACGAAGGUUGGCUAAUCCUGGUCGGACAUCAGGAGGUUAGUGCAAUGGCAUAAGCCAGCUUGACUGCGAGCGUGACGGCGCGAGCAGGUGCGAAAGCAGGUCAUAGUGAUCCGGUGGUUCUGAAUGGAAGGGCCAUCGCUCAACGGAUAAAAGGUACUCCGGGGAUAACAGGCUGAUACCGCCCAAGAGUUCAUAUCGACGGCGGUGUUUGGCACCUCGAUGUCGGCUCAUCACAUCCUGGGGCUGAAGUAGGUCCCAAGGGUAUGGCUGUUCGCCAUUUAAAGUGGUACGCGAGCUGGGUUUAGAACGUCGUGAGACAGUUCGGUCCCUAUCUGCCGUGGGCGCUGGAGAACUGAGGGGGGCUGCUCCUAGUACGAGAGGACCGGAGUGGACGCAUCACUGGUGUUCGGGUUGUCAUGCCAAUGGCACUGCCCGGUAGCUAAAUGCGGAAGAGAUAAGUGCUGAAAGCAUCUAAGCACGAAACUUGCCCCGAGAUGAGUUCUCCCUGACCCUUUAAGGGUCCUGAAGGAACGUUGAAGACGACGACGUUGAUAGGCCGGGUGUGUAAGCGCAGCGAUGCGUUGAGCUAACCGGUACUAAUGAACCGUGAGGCUUAACCUUACAACGCCGAAG